rnacentral:rRNA from 1 species
CGCAGCUAACGCACUAAGUUGACCGCCUGGGGAGUACGGCCGCAAGGUUAAAACUCAAAUGAAUUGACGGGGGCCCGCACAAGCGGUGGAGCAUGUGGUUUAAUUCGACGCAACGCGAAGAACCUUACCUGGCCUUGACAUCCAGAGAACUUUCCAGAGAUGGAUUGGUGCCUUCGGGAACUCUGUGACAGGUGCUGCAUGGCCGUCGUCAGCUCGUGUCGUGAGAUGUUGGGUUAAGUCCCGUAACGAGCGCAACCCCUAUCCCUGGUUGCUAGCAGGUAAUGUUGAGAACUCCAGGGAGACUGCCGGUGACAAACCGGAGGAAGGUGGGGAUGACGUCAGGUCAUCAUGGCCCUUACGGCCAGGGCUACACACGUGCUACAAUGGUGCGUACAGAGGGCUGCAAACUCGCGAGAGUAAGCCAAUCCCUUAAAACGCAUCGUAGUCCGGAUCGGAGUCUGCAACUCGACUCCGUGAAGUCGGAAUCGCUAGUAAUCGCGAAUCAGAAUGUCGCGGUGAAUACGUUCCCGGGCCUUGUACACACCGCCCGUCACACCAUGGGAGUGGAUUGCACCAGAAGUGGUUAGUCUAACCUUCGGGAGGACGAUCACCACGGUGUGGUUCAUGACUGG